CCUACGGGGGGCAGCAGUAGGGAAUCUUCCACAAUGGGCGAAAGCCUGAUGGAGCAACGCCGCGUGGGUGAAGAAGGUCUUCGGAUCGUAAAACUCUGUUGUUAGAGAAGAAAGUGCGUGAGAGUAACUGUUCACGUUUCGACGGUAUCUAACCAGAAAGCCACGGCUAACUACGUGCCAGCAGCCGCGGUAAUACGUAGGUGGCAAGCGUUAUCCGGAUUUAUUGGGCGUAAAGGGAACGCAGGCGGUCUGUUAAGUCUGAUGUGAAAGCCUUCGGCUUAACCGGAGUAGUGCAUUGGAGACUGGGAGACUUGAGUGCAGAAGAGGAGGGUGGAACUCGAGGUGUAGCGGUGAAAUGCGUAGAUAUAUCGAAGAACACCGGUGGCGAAAGCAGCUCUCUGGUCUGUAACUGACGCUGAGGUUCGAAAGCGUGGGUAGCAAACAGGAUUAGAUACCCUUGUAGUC
rnacentral:rRNA from 1 species